rnacentral:rRNA from 1 species
AGUCAAGUAAUGAAGUGCACAUGGUGGAUGCCUUGGCAGUCAGAGGCGAUGAAAGACGUGACAGCCUGCGAAAAGCGUCGGGGAGGCGGCAAUAUCCUGUGAUCCGGCGAUAUCUGAAUGGGGAAACCCACUUGUCAUAAGACAGGUAUCGUAAAUUUAUUUACGAGGCAAACCGGGAGAAGUGAAACAUCUCAGUAACCCGAGGAAAAGACAUCAAUAGAGAUUCCCCUAGUAGCGGCGAGCGAACGGGGAGGAGCCGACUGAUUAUAAUUUAGAGGAAUGACUUGGAAAGGUCAAUCGUAGAGGGUGAUAAUCCCGUACUCGAAAGGUUAUAAGAAGCAUAUUAAGUAGGGCGGAACACGAGAAAUUCUGUCUGAAGAUGGGGGGACCAUCCUCCAAGGCUAAAUACUCCUGACUGACCGAUAGUGAACCAGUACCGUGAGGGAAAGGCGAAAAGAACCCCUGUGAGGGGAGUGAAAUAGAACCUGAAACCGUGUGCAUACAAGCAGUCGGAGCGGACAUGUUCCGUGACGGCGUACCUUUUGUAUAAUGGGUCAGCGACUUAUAUUCUGUAGCAAGGUUAACCGAAUAGGGGAGCCGUAGGGAAACCGAGUCUUAAUAGGGCGUCUAGUUGCAGGGUAUAGACCCGAAACCGAGUGAUCUAUCCAUGAGCAGGUUGAAAGUGACGUAACAGUUACCGGAGGACCGAACCCACUGUCGUUGAAAAGCCAGGGGAUGACUUGUGGAUAGGGGUGAAAGGCUAAUCAAACUCGGUGAUAGCUGGUUCUCCCCGAAAGCUAUUUAGGUAGCGCCUCGGACGAACACCAUUGGGGGUAGAGCACUGUUUCGGCUAGGGGGUCAUCCCGACUUACCAAACCGAUGCAAACUCCGAAUACCGAUGAGUGAUAUCCGGGAGACAGACGGCGGGUGCUAACGUCCGUCGUCAAGAGGGAAACAACCCAGACCGCCAGCUAAGGCCCCAAAUUCCUAGUUAAGUGGGAAACGAUGUGGGAAGGCACAGACAGCUAGGAGGUUGGCUUAGAAGCAGCCAUCCUUUAAAGAAAGCGUAAUAGCUCACUAGUCGAGUCGGCCUGCGCGGAAGAUGUAACGGGGCUCAAACUAGGAGCCGAAGCUGCGGAUUUAAUUGUUUCAAUUAAGUGGUAGGGGAGCAUUGUGUAAGCCUGUGAAGGUGUGUUGUAAAGCAUGCUGGAGGUAUCACAAGAGCGAAUGCUGACGUGAGUAACGACAAAACGGGUGAAAAGCCCGUUCGCCGGAAGACCAAGGGUUCCAGUCCAACGUUAAUCGGGGCUGGGUGAGUCGACCCCUAAGGCGAGGCCGAAAGGCGUAGUCGAUGGGAAAUCGGUUAAUAUUCCGAUACUUGUUUAUGAUGCGAUGGAGGGACGGAGAAGGUUAUGCCAGCUUGGCGAUGGUUGUCCAAGUGGAAGGAUGUAGUUAGGUUUAGUAGGCAAAUCCGCUAGACUAUUAAUGAGAUCUGAUAGCAAGCUGUACUUGUACAGCGAAGUGGCAAAUACCCUGCUUCCAGGAAAAGCUUCUAAGCGAUAGUCAUAAAGAAAUCGUACCCUAAACCGACACAGGUGGUCAGGUAGAGAAUACCAAGGCGCUUGAGAGAACUCUGCUGAAGGAACUAGGCAAAAUGGUACCGUAACUUCGGGAGAAGGUACGCUGCCGAUGGUGAGUAGACAUGCUCUACAAAGCUAUUGGCAGUCGCAGAUACCAGGCCGCUGCAACUGUUUAUUAAAAACACAGCACUCUGCAAACACGAAAGUGGACGUAUAGGGUGUGAUGCCUGCCCGGUGCUGGAAGGUUAAUUGAUGGGGUUAGCGUAAGCGAAGCUCUUGAUCGAAGCCCCAGUAAACGGCGGCCGUAACUAUAACGGUCCUAAGGUAGCGAAAUUCCUUGUCGGGUAAGUUCCGACCUGCACGAAUGGCAUAAUGAUGGCGGCGCUGUCUCCAGCAGAGACUCAGUGAAAUCGAAAUCGCAGUGAAGAUGCUGUGUACCCGCGGCUAGACGGAAAGACCCCGUGAACCUUUACUACAGCUUUACAUUGAACUUUGACCUUACCUGUGUAGGAUAGGUGGGAGGCUUUGAAGCAGGCACGCCAGUGUCUGUGGAGCCAUCCUUGAAAUACCACCCUGGUAAUGUUGGGGUUCUAACUCAAGCUUAACAGAGCUGAGGACAAUGUAUGGUGGGUAGUUUGACUGGGGCGGUCUCCUCCUAAAGAGUAACGGAGGAGUACGAAGGUGCGCUCAGAACGGUCGGAAAUCGUUCGAAGAGUAUAAAGGCAAAAGCGCGCUUAACUGCGAGACCCACAAGUCGAGCAGAUACGAAAGUAGGUCUUAGUGAUCCGGUGGUUCUGUAUGGAAGGGCCAUCGCUCAACGGAUAAAAGGUACUCUGGGGAUAACAGGCUGAUACCGCCCAAGAGUUCAUAUCGACGGCGGUGUUUGGCACCUCGAUGUCGGCUCAUCUCAUCCUGGGGCUGAAGCAGGUCCCAAGGGUAUGGCUGUUCGCCAUUUAAAGAGGUACGCGAGCUGGGUUUAGAACGUCGUGAGACAGUUCGGUCCCUAUCUACCGUGGGCGUUGGAAAUUUGAGAGGAUCUGCUCCUAGUACGAGAGGACCAGAGUGGACGAACCUCUGGUGUUUCGGUUGUGACGCCAGUCGCAUUGCCGAGUAGCUAUGUUCGGAUGGGAUAACCGCUGAAAGCAUCUAAGCGGGAAGCCCACCUUAAGAUUAGAUUUCCCUAAAGAGCCGUUGUAGACUACGACGUUGAUAGGUUGGGUGUGGAAGCAUAGUGAUAUGUGUAGCUAACCAAUACUAAUUGCUCGUUUGGCUUGACUAU